rnacentral:rRNA from 1 species
AGGAUGAACGCUAGCGACAGGCCUAACACAUGCAAGUCAGGGGCAGCACAAGGAGCAAUCUGAGGUGGCGACCGGCGCACGGGUGAGUAACACGUAUGCAACCUGCCUGUAAGCGGGGAAUAACCCGUUGAAAGACGGACUAAUACCGCAUAAUACUAAAUUACUGCAUGGUAAUUUAUUUAAACAUUUAUGGCUUACAGAUGGGCAUGCGCAUGAUUAGCUAGUUGGAGAGGUAACGGCUCCCCAAGGCAACGAUCAUUAGGGGUUCUGAGAGGAAGGUCCCCCCACACUGGUACUGAGACACGGACCAGACUCCUACGGGAGGCAGCAGUGAGGAAUAUUGGUCAAUGGACGAGAGUCUGAACCAGCCAAGUCGCGUGCAGGAAGAAUGUCCUAUGGAUUGUAAACUGCUUUUGCAGGGGAAUAAAGUGCAUCACGUGUGAUGUUUUGUAUGUACUCUGCGAAUAAGGAUCGGCUAACUCCGUGCCAGCCGCGGC